AAGUCGUAACAAGGUAACCGUAGGUGAACCUGCGGUUGGAUCAUUAGUGAAAUUUAUAAGGGGUUAGCCCUUUAUAUAACUUGGGAGGCCUCAUAUGAGGUAGUACCUAUCACUUUUUGUGAACUGUUGAAUGUCUUUGGCUAGAUUCCUUAAUUGCCUAGGUGAUUAAGGGCUAGCCAUUAUCUUGAACCUAGAGUUUCCUUUUAGUCUAAACUUUCUAGUAAUAGAAUACAACUUUUGACAAUGGAUCUCUUGGCUCUC
rnacentral:misc_RNA from 1 species